AAAUUUAGGACAAUUUCCUUUCAACGUGAUCGUAGAUGACAACCCAAGCACCUAUCUUCACACAGUCGUGUGAAUGUUUGCAAGUUUUACAGUUUGGUACACACACAACCACAGUUUGUUACACGAUCUGGUGACAUAGCCGUGUGACCUGUAUUACAUGGUUUGACUUCCUGCACACAGUUGGGCUACACAGUUUUGUGUUUCAGCCCCAUACAGCCUCAUUCCUUCCACAUGGUCGUGUGAUCCUUAUUUGUAAAACUUCAGAAAUAAUAGGUUCAGAUCGUGACUUCAAAAGGGGGCGUCACAAUUUAAAGGCUAAAUAUUUUCCCAACAGUGAAUUUUUUCAGGCAGAGUUAAGAAAUUACCCUUCAUAUACCUGGAGGAGCAUAUUGGCAACGAAGAAACUACUGAGGGAGGGGAUGGCUUGGAGGGUGGGAAGGGGGGACCAUAUAUCAAUCUGGCAAGAUGCUUGGGUUCCUGGAUUGGAGGAAUAUAGAAUUAAAGAAUCAGCUAGGAACCAUAGAAUUGAAAUAGUACCAGACCUAAUUGAUCCUAACCAAAAUCAAUGGAAGGAAGAAACCAUUACCAGUUUAUUCAUAAGUGAGAAGGCUACUGCAAUUUUCAGAAUUCCUUUUACAAACAAGAUGACUCUAGAAUUUAGAGUGGUGAACCAUCAAGAGAAUAUACUGUAAGAAGCGGGUAAAUAUGGUUGACAAAAAAGGAACCUAACCUUGAUAAUGAUACAAAUAAUUAUGCAAACAUUGAUAAACUCUUCUAUAAAAAAACUAUGGCAAACAAACUUUCCAGGAAAAAUAAAUAUUACAAACUGGCGAGUGUACAAUGGAUACAUUCCAAUUAUGGGCAGUCUACACUAUAAGAGGAAGUAGAGACAAAAUCGACAGAAGACGCUUUCAGAGAUUGUGCUGCAGUAAAAAACAUAUAGAAAGAAUUAGGGUUUCAAAUUAUACAAAGAGAUGAGGAAGUGAGAUAUCAACAGUGGAUAAGAGAGUUACUUAACAAUACGACAAGAAUAUAGAAUAAGACUAUUUUUUUUUUGCAGCAUCUGGGCAAUGUGGUUGAGGAGAAACAAGAUCCUGCACGAGAAAAAGGUCCAAUCAGUGGAGGAUACAAUUUUCUUUAUUUGUAAAUAUUUGAGGGAAUGGGAAGAGGUAAAUCACAGAUUACCAGGUCAAAGGGUGGUAGAAGAGCGGUGGAGGCCACCUAAACCAGACGAAAUCAAAAUGAACUUUGAUGGGGCCUUUGAUAAACAAACAUUUAAAUUUGGAAUAAGCAUUGUUUGUAGGGACCCAGAAGGAAAAAUACUUAACUGUAGAUCGAAAGUCAAUAAUUGAAUCCCUACGACAUUUGCAGUAGAGGCUUUGGCUUGCCUACAAGCAGUAAGAAUGGGUUUGGAUCUGGGUUACCGAAGGGUUGUGGUGGAAGGAGACGCCCUCAGCAUCAUUAAAAACUUACAGAGAAAGGAAAAUGAUAAAUCAGUGUUGACUCUAUACAUUAUAAAUAUCAAAACUUUUAGCAACAAAUUCAACAAAUGCAAAUUUAGACAGAUAGGAAGAAAAGGGAACGAAACGGCGCAUGCAGUAGCGAAGGAAGCUCUAAAGCUUAACGGAAGUACCUACAUAGAAGGACGACUGCCUAAAAUGGUGUUAGCGGUAGCGACAAAAGAUGCUAGAGAUCUGGAACUGUCAUAGGGAAGAAGGGAGAGAUG
rnacentral:lncRNA from 1 species